ACUGGUUUAAAAUAAACCACAAUGACUACAAAUAAGUCAAAGUCACACACACAGUGGCUGUCUACCGGUAGGGGCGAGUCGCCCGCAUGUGAACAAUACCCAUACCUAAAAGCAUAAUGAGAAUCUGAAUCCGCAACAGUGUUGCACUUUUAAACAAAUAUACAAUUCUAAAUAAUUUGUUAUCCAGCAUUCAAACCAAUCGAACAUUUCCGCACAGAAUUAAGCACAUCAAUAGGACUCCAACGCACCUUUUACGAACAAGUGACGUGUCUCCAGCAAAAAAAAUGCACAAUGCCGGACACAAAGCAAUCGCUUUCCGCAGUUGAAGUUGGCUCGUAUCCUCUAUUUCUUUCAACAGAAAUGGUCAAAUAGCUAGAUGCUUCAUUUGUCUGAGAGAAUAAAAAAAGCGCUCGGGAGCAGCUCUAGCUCCUCUUACUUGCUCUGAGGUCAGUCUGUCUGGUUGUAGCUUACUAGAAGCAGUGUCUCCCCCUUUUGCAUUGAGUCCCGACUGUUAUGUUGGGCGCUUGCUCCAGUUUCUCUCCCUCUCCCCUCUAGAAUGUGUGUUAGUGGGUCAGUGGUUGCGUAACAGCUCAUAGGCUGCCUCGUCACGUCUUUUUUGUUGGCGCGCGCGCUCCCUGUUUGCCCCUACGGUACUGAUACCUAUUGCUUCGACCUGAUGCAACACAAUUUGGCAGGACCGGGCCACCGGACCAGUAGUAUCUGACUAGCGCCAGACAGAAUCAGAAUGAGAUUUCGGUCAAAGAUUUGGUUAGGUUGCCCAAAGGGCGAGGUGAAGACAAAUAGCCUAAAGCUUGAUUAGCCUACCUGUGUGUGUAUGUACACGUUUUAUUAUACUUGUAAGUACCAGAAGUCCUUACAAGAAUAGUAAACCAACAAAAAUUCAGAGAAGUGAGGCCAUUUUGCUUUACUGAUUUUAGGUUUAGGGUUUAAAGUUAGAAUUAGGGUUGGGGUUGGGGUUAGGAUUAAGAUUAGGAUUAGGAUUUAGAUUUACAUUUAGGGUUUGGGAUUACUUUUAGGGUUAGCGGUUAGGGAAAAUAGGAUUUUUAAUGGAAAUCAAUUGUUC
rnacentral:lncRNA from 13 species